rnacentral:lncRNA from 1 species
GCGAGCCAGAAGCGCGCGGUAGUCCGAGCGAGAGCACGAGGGGCAGCAGCACGAGCUGGCGCAAGCAAGCCCUGGCCGCAGGAGCCUACGUACUUUGAGGAUGCCCGCCACAGGAACGGCGAGGAAUACGAGAGAGGAUGACGAGGACGAAGGUGCGUGCUGGUGGCCUGGUGGCUGACGGACGCUGCUGGUCGUCGCAGACGCGGCUGCCCCGUGCUCUGACUUUGGGCCGACACUGCGGAGACACGGCCGUCUCCCACAAUACUUACAUGGGCAGGGUUCUCACGGCUGCUUUCAUGACAUCUGUUCUCUGUAGUCCUGUCAUGGUCUGCCAAUUACGUCGCAAG